rnacentral:rRNA from 1 species
AUGCAGCCGGACCCUAAAGGCCCGGGGAGGGAGAAGGCGCACGCUCGGCUGCCGCCGCCGGUGACGGCGCCGUCGGUGGGGCGGCCGGCGUCGGUGCUGCCGCACAAGACGGCGAACGUGCGCGACCACUACCGCAUCGGGAAGAAGCUGGGGCAGGGGCAGUUCGGCACGACGUACCUGUGCGUGGCCAAGGAGGACGGCGGCGAGUACGCGUGCAAGUCCAUCCCCAAGCGCAAGCUGCUGUGCCGCGAGGAUUACGAGGAUGUCUGGCGCGAGAUCCAGAUCAUGCAUCACCUGUCGGAGCACCCCAAUGUGGUUCGCAUCCGCGGCGCCUACGAGGACGCCCUCUUCGUGCACCUGGUCAUGGAGCUCUGCGCCGGCGGCGAGCUCUUCGACCGCAUCGUGGCCAAGGGCCACUACAGCGAGCGUGCCGCUGCCCAACUCAUCAGGACGAUCGUGGGGGUGGUAGAGGGGUGCCACUCGCUCGGUGUCAUGCAUCGGGACCUCAAGCCGGAGAACUUCCUCUUCGCGAGCACGGCCGAGGACGCCCCACUCAAGGCUACGGACUUUGGGCUUUCCGUCUUCUACAAGCCUGGAGAUAAAUUUGCAGAUGUUGUUGGGAGUCCCUAUUAUGUUGCACCUGAGGUGCUUCUAAAAUGCUAUGGCCCAGAAGCUGAUGUCUGGAGUGCCGGAGUAAUUCUGUACAUUUUGCUGUGUGGUGUGCCUCCGUUUUGGGCAGAAAGCGAAUCAGGAAUUUUCAAGCAGAUUUUGCGAGGUAAGCUUGACUUGGAAACUGAACCAUGGCCUAGUAUCUCUGAUAGUGCUAAAGAUCUAGUUCGUAAGAUGCUUAUCCGUGAUCCUACAAAGAGAGAGACUGCUCAUGAGGUUCUGUGUCAUCCAUGGAUUGUUGAUGAUUCUGUUGCACCUGACAAACCUAUUGAUUCUGCUGUUUUGUCAAGGCUGAAACACUUUUCUGCAAUGAACAAGCUGAAGAAGAUGGCAUUGAGGGGACCAAGCGUGUUUGUGUUCUUGCAGGUCAUUGCUGAAAGUCUAUCUGAGGAGGAGAUCGGUGGCUUAAAAGAGUUGUUUAAAAUGAUUGAUACUGACAAUAGUGGGACAAUAACUUAUGAAGAACUGAAGGAUGGCUUGAAAAGGGUGGGAUCCGAUCUAAUGGAACCUGAAAUCCAGUCUUUGAUGGAUGCGGCUGAUAUUGACAACAGCGGAUCCAUCGACUAUGGUGAAUUCUUAGCAGCUACAUUGCAUGUGAAUAAACUGGAGAGGGAGGAAAAUUUGGUGUCAGCAUUCGCAUUCUUUGAUAAAGAUGGAAGUGGCUUUAUAACGAUUGAUGAGCUCUCGCAAGCAUGCGAGAAAUUUGGCCUUUCUGACGUUCAUCUUGAGGAUAUGAUCAAGGAUGUGGAUCAAAAUAAUGAUGGACAAAUUGAUUACAGUGAGUUUGCGGCUAUGAUGAGAAAGGGCAAUGCUGGUGGCUCCAGUGGGACCAGUGGGGCUGUUGGGGCAGGAAGGAGAACCAUGAGGAACAGCCUGCAUGUGAAUCUCGGCGAAAUAUUGAGGCCCGGUGGAACCACCUAA